GCGGCCCUAAAAAGCAAAAUAAAUAAAUAACUUCGUCCCAAAGCACUCCUGUCUGUGGGCUUUGCAAAUUGCUAGGCGUCCCUUACAGAGUCCCCAAGGUCACAGCCCCAAGGCUACCGUGGUGUGUGGUAGGUAAGAGCCAGGAGAGCCAACUGUGUGCAUCUGUCUCCAACCCUGCAUUCAGUGACACCAUACUGACAGCGGAAAUCAGCCAUGCUGGAAAUAUUUACACCACGGGGAUCAGCACACGCUGCAAACCAGGGCUUUUGGUUUCGUGGGGAGCCAGCUGCUAAACCUUUCCCAGCUCAGGAAUGGGCAGAGCCAGUGAUGGGCCAAAUCAGCUCCUGGCUGACUGUGCAUAGGUUCCCAGCAAACACAGCACCCACCUCAGCCCAAUGUACCAUCUCUAUGGCCAGAGUGAGGGUUCCCUUCUGCCCAUGCCUCACCUCUAGAUGAUGAGAAAAUGUUAACACAUACCCUUUCUAGCAGCUGUUUUCCCCCAAUCCUGCAUUUGAGGAUAUUUGUUGCAUAUUUUUGGUGCUAGAUUCAAGAAGGAGAGUGACUUCCUUUCCCUGCUAGGCACACUGAGGCAAGGGAGGUUGAAGUGACUUUUCUCAGGUCACCCAGGAAUCUGAGAUGGAAACCUGUUAACACCUGUCAAUUUGCUCUCUGCACUUCAAAUUUAAGAUUAAUACCUUGGGUUUGGCAACAAUUCUAUUUUCAUCCCCUCAAAGCACUGCUGUUAAAAUUAUGGUCCCCCCGUACCCAUGCAGUAGAACACAGUGUCUAUCUUAAACAAGUGAAGUAAAUCUGGGUAAUCUAUGCUCUCAAAAAACCCCAACAAAACACAGAAAGGUACUUGUAUAUACAUGGCCAUAUUUUUGAAUAUGGAGAAUACUGCAUACAUAUCUAUAUAGUUUGAUAUGUAUAUAGAACAUUUUGGAAGAAAAACACUUACCGCCAGAAGCCUCAGAGUGGGAGCCAGGGUGAUACAUAUUUUAUUGCUUCAUUGUAUAUCUUUUGUUCUUUUUGACAUUUUACCCUGUGCAAGUAUUACAUUCUCCAUUUUUUUUAAAAAAGCUAGUCAAAAGGAACAAAAAAAUACUGCUGCUAAAAGCAUCUUCAUCACACCACUCUCUUCCCAAAUCCAGCCAACCACUCCUCCACCCCAUCUGUAGCAUAUUCAAGCUUGCCUUUGUUCUACUUUGCCACUGUCUGCUCCAUCUUGCUCCUCUUCUGGGGGCGGCAGGAGGUCACAGAGCAGCCCAUGGGGUUGGCAUCCCUGAGAAGUGCUCGUCUCUCAUUUCCUAAAGACCAGCCAGUGUCCUACUUGGCCCGAGGACUUCUGUCUGGCUCUGAUUCGAGGGGGAUUCCAGGAAUGACCCAGAACAUCCUUUCCAUGCUAAAGCAAGUAACUCUAGACCAAGUCAGAGGCAGGAGGCUUUUCCACUGGGGUCAGUAAACCCAUGGGCACGAAUACCCAGAAAUGGUACAGGCUAAACCGAUGAUGACGCCAGGUGGCAUGCAGAUGUUAGCAAGUAAAAGCUCCCAGUUGAGUUGUUGAUCUCAUCGGGAACUGGGUAGAAGCAGGUGAAGGACUAGAGACCGGACAACUUCAUUCCAGUUUUGCAAAAGAAGAAAGUAAGGUAAGCUCUGAAAACUACAAACAAAUGCGCUGGGCCCAGAGACUGGCUCAGUAAAGGGCAGACACGUGAUUAUUUAGGAAAGGAAAAAAAAAAAUGAUAUGGUGAGCACUAGGAAUGGGCCUGGGAUUACCAGGAACCAACCCUACCAGGCUGGUCUUGUUCCCUAAUUCAAUAAGGUGGUGAGGUUCUCACAUCAAGGAAAUGUAAGAAGGAAUGUCUGCCUGUCAUCAAAGACUUUUUAAUAAGACCCUCGAACAGGGGGGAGGCGGGGCUGGAUGGCUCAACGGACUGGAUGGUGAAACCCCAGAGACAGUUCUCGAUUCCUUAAUACAGCAGGGAGGAAGGUUUUGGGGGAUCUGCAUCCGAGCUCUGCUCUCAAACGAAUCCUGUCCAACAGUGUCACGAAGAACGUGGAUAACGAUGAAGAGGACAGCUGUCAUCACUUUCGUCUGUGACAGCAAUAAAAAUACUCGAUGUUGGGAUGGCUCUUAAGGCAGAAUCAAGAAGACCCUGUUUCAUUCAGGCUACAAGCGCACGAUCAAAGCCUGGCAACAUAAAACAGACUUUCCGAAUCCAAAUAUAGUUUUGCAUGCUGAAAUGAUGGGGACAUUUCUGACACAAUGAAAUGUAAUGUGGGUGCCACAAAGGUCCUGAACGUGGGUAUAGAAAACAACUUUGCAAACACAGGAUCAGGGCGACGUGACCACAUUUUUUUUUUUUUUUAAAGUAUAAGCUAAAGUUGACAAUUAUCUAUGUGAAUCAACGGUGCGAGGCUGCCAAAGUCAACGGGCUCGCAAGCUAUGUUGUUAGAGAAUGGAGUCCCAAAGUACAGCCCGGCUCCACUGCAAGGUGACAGACCAUGCCUGGAUUACUGCAAAUGGUCCCAGGCCCCAUGCUUUAAGAGCGGCCAAGCCCAGAAGGCACUUCAAAUCCUGUUAUAUUUGGAACAAUCAAAGGAGCUGGUGAUAUCCAGCUUCAGGAAAGUAAGAAUCCAGGGAAUGUGACAGUUUCAAAUAUUCGAAGAGCCACCAAGGAGAAGAGUUGUUGAAUUAGCUCUCUAACUUCAAGAUAUCAAAGGAGGAUCAAUGAAGAGAAUUGAUCUUAUGUAGAGGUAUUUCGGUCCAAUAUAAAGAAUGUCUUUCUAACAGAGCUCUCUAAAGACAGAAUAGUCUUUCUUGGGUAGGAUCAAGUUUUCCACCACUUGAUGUGUUCAGACAGGAAGGAGGUGAUGCUUAGGGAAAGACUGAGGUUGGGGUGAAAUGACCUCCGGUGUCUCAUAGGGUCUGCGAAUUUGGUUGUUUUGUGUUCCUUGUCACAUCCUUCACAGUGCCGUGGACUUUGCUUUGACUCAGGAAAUGUUUAUGGAAUUAAAUUAGAAGCUUUGGUCAGAAAGACAGUCAGGUCCCAGAGUGAGAUGCAGGCCGUGGGCAGACACAGAGCUCAGCUAAACCCCGCCUCUUCCUUGCUCUGCUCUGUACACGUCAUUCACCAGACACCCCAUCCUCUGCCCAGUGCUGGCCUGUAUGGAACCUUUUUCCUUAUCACUCACUCAUUAAACGCUCAGACAAUCCA